GAGCUCGGACUUUGCUGGCGGGCCAUCCACCAUUGGAUGUCUUGAGCGUUAGUACUAUAGGUGAGGGCCAUCUGCAAUUGGAGUCGGGGGCGAAGUCCGGCUCCCGUAGGAGUCCGGACGAAGUCCACCUGUAGUCGGAGUCAGGGAUGAAGACCAGCUCCCAUGGGAGUCCGGAUGAAGUCCACUUGCAGUCAGAGUCGGGGAUGAAGUCUGGCUCUCGUGGG
rnacentral:lncRNA from 1 species